CGCCUUUUCGUUGUCACCACUAGAUCGAUAUGGCUAGUUUUCUAUCGCUAUUUCUAGCUUGAAUUAAGGCAAGGCUUCGAAGCCCCUCUCUUCUCUCUGUAACUAGAGAGGUAGGCAAACCUGAGUUUAGAGCCACCUCGAUUCGGGAUGUCGGAACACCAACCGAAUCCUAAACUGACUUCGGAACAGGUUCGAGAGCUUAGAUCGAAACCCUUUCCUAUCUAGUGUCAGCUGAUCCUUCAGCGUCUGCACCAACAAAAUCGGAAGCUUAAUUCGAAAGACGAGAGUAGGCUCGAGGGGG